UUUAAGUUAUUAUACUAAAUUUUAUUAAGUCCUGUUACUAGCAGAAUUAUCUAGGAACUUCCAGCUUUGGAAGCAAAGGAGCAGAGCCCUUUUCAGAGCUGUCCUGAAAAUAAAGCCUAUUGUCCAAGAGAAGAUAUCUAAGGACCAGAUAUUUUCUGAAUUCAUGGAAUUGGCCCUUACCAGGUCCUUCUGAGUACUCCCAAAGCUGCCAGAUUUGAGGGAGUGGACUCCUGGAUCAUCUGAAGAAGGAUUCAAUCCCCAAGUGGACCACCAAACCAGGUGAAGACCUCAAGGUCUACUUCAAGUGCCCUGGGAUGACAUCUCAAAAAGACUGCUGCCCCAAGACUCUGGACAUGGGUAGAUGCAGUGGACACAGAGUAAGCCUGUUUGCUGAAAGGAGUGAAUCAGGAGUCUGCAGUGAGUCAAAGUCUUGCUGACUCCCAGAUGUCUUUGCUGGUAUUCACUGACUGACCUUGCUGAGCUCCUCUCUACCUCCUGGCCCCAAACUGGUCCAAACCAGCCUUGCAGUCAACUGUUCUCCUGUAAAACACCUUGCUUCUAUGUCCACCUGUUCUUGGGAAAGAUUGUCCAUUCUUUUCCCCAACCCCUCCCUGAACCUCCCCUUUGUGGCUUUCAAGCAUAAAUCUCCCCUGCCUCUCCUGGACUGUGGCCUCUUUUGUACCUUGUACUGGGGGUUUUAGCUCUAGUAUCUGAUUUUCCUCCUAAUAAAACUUCUGCUU